AAAAAGUUUCACGCUCUGUAGAAACACAAACCCUAUUAAAAAAAAUACCACUAAUACUCUCUCUUCCAGGUGAGUUUGACUCCUAACCCUAGCCACCGCAACCGAGGCCUCACCGCAACCAGAUGCAGAUCCGAUGCCACUGAGAUCUUUUCCUCCAACAGAAAGACGAACCCAGGCACCAGUGACUGGCUAGAGGCUUCUGAGUUCUGACUGUUUCCCCGUCGCCUUGUAACGGAAAGAGCCCGCCGUUAGACCUACGAGCCACAAAAUUACAGAGUUCUCGUUUAAUUGUGUUGUUGUGCAGAUUCCUGGAGUUGGUAACCAGUACAGGUACCGGCGAAGCUGUCGAAACCCUAGUGCCUCCAGCAACAUUUCUCGUCCUCUUCAGCAAAUCCGGCACCACCGAGGAGCUUCUCCGUCUCGUCCCCUGCGAACCAAGUAGGAGUAUGCAGCUAAUCAUCGGGAAGAGCUUAAUCUUCAAGGUAUGACUUUGAGAUUAAGUGUUAAGAACCAUUAGUGUUUGGGAAUCAAUCUAUUAUUGUCUGUUUCUUACAUGUCGAGGAUUUUAUGAAAAAGAGAGAUGAGCUUCCUGUUUGUAAAGGAGGAGACUUGAGAAGUUAUCUUCAAAUUCAGUGCUGGAGAAACGUGUAACAGGUUAGGGAAAACUCUGCUUUAGAUCCUAUAAGUACUGGUGUACGUUGAAGCUUUGUUUGAAUCUAUAAACAGGAAGCCGAGGACAAUUGGAUCAGAGAUGAUCAUGGAUCGACUAACUAUGCUGCCGAUAAGGUCUUGGAAAUGAUCCGAGCCUUGGAAGCAUGUGCACAAGUGGACCAGUUGCCUUGCUGUUGAGAAGGAAGAGUGGAAAUUUGAUACACUGUGAUUUAUGACACGCACUCGAGCUGUUAUCUUCUGCAACACUAAACGAAAGGUUUGCUUGGUUUCUGCAACUCUUCCUCACGAGAUUUUGGAGAUGACAUCAAAUUUUAUGACGGAGCCAAUGAAGAUACUUGUGAAGCGUGAUGAGUAGACUCUUGACGGCAAGAGGAUUAAGUUUAGAUUUUUGGUUUAUUUAAGUUUAUCGUUUAGUUUAGGUUCUUUUCUGGUUUUAGUUUGGUAAACUGGAAUUUGGUUGUAAACUGAUUUUAAUUUAUAAAUAAAAUUAUUUUUAUUUUAA